GAUGAACGCUGGCGGCGUGCCUAAUACAUGCAAGUCGAGCGAACAGAUGAGGAGCUUGCUCCUCUGGCGUUAGCGGCGGACGGGUGAGUAACACGUGGAUAACCUACCUAUAAGACUGGGAUAACUUCGGGAAACCGGAGCUAAUACCGGAUAAUAUAUUGAACCGCAUGGUUCAAUAGUGAAAGACGGUUUUGCUGUCACUUAUAGAUGGAUCCGCGCCGCAUUAGCUAGUUGGUAAGGUAACGGCUUACCAAGGCAACGAUGCGUAGCCGACCUGAGAGGGUGAUCGGCCACACUGGAACUGAGACACGGUCCAGACUCCUACGGGAGGCAGCAGUAGGGAAUCUUCCGCAAUGGGCGAAAGCCUGACGGAGCAACGCCGCGUGAGUGAUGAAGGUCUUCGGAUCGUAAAACUCUGUUAUUAGGGAAGAACAAAUGUGUAAGUAACGAUGCACGUCUUGACGGUACCUAAUCAGAAAGCCACGGCUAACUACGU
rnacentral:rRNA from 1 species